UGCCAGCCGCCGCGGUAAUACGAAGGUGGCAAGCGUUGUUCGGAUUCACUGGGCAUAAAGGGCGUGUAGGCGGCUUGGCAAGCGGAGCGUGAAAUCCCGGAGCUCAACUCCGGAACUGCGUUCCGAACUGCCAGGCUAGAGGACAGGAGGGGGGUAUGGAACUCUAGGUGGAGCGGUGAAAUGCGUAGAUAUCUAGAGGAACGCCGGUGGCGAAAGCGAUACCCUGGCCUGUCCCUGACGCUGAGGCGCGAAAGCGUGGGUAGCAAACAGGAUUAGAUA
rnacentral:rRNA from 1 species